rnacentral:rRNA from 1 species
GAUGAACGCUGGCGGCGUGCCUAAUACAUGCAAGUCGAGCGAACAGACGAGGAGCUUGCUCCUCUGACGUUAGCGGCGGACGGGUGAGUAACACGUGGAUAACCUACCUAUAAGACUGGGAUAGCUUCGGGAAACCGGAGCUAAUACCGGAUAAUAUAUUGAACCGCAUGGUUCAAUAGUGAAAGACGGUUUUGCUGACACUUAUAGAUGGAUCCGCGCCGCAUUAGCUAGUUGGUAAGGUAACGGCUUACCAAGGCGACGAUGCGUAGCCGACCUGAGAGGGUGAUCAGCCACACUGGAACUGAGACACGGUCCAGACUCCUACGGGAGGCAGCAGUAGGGAAUCUUCCGCAAUGGGCGAAAGCCUGACGGAGCAACGCCGCGUGAGUGAUGAAGGUCUUCGGAUCGUAAAGCUCUGUUAUUAGGGAAGAACAAAUGUGUAAGUAACUAUGCACGUCUUGACGGUACCUAAUCAGAAAGCCACGGCUAACUACGUG